GUGGGGAAUAUUGGUCAAUGGACGGAAGUCUGAACCAGCCAAGUAGCGUGCAGGAUGACGGCCCUAUGGGUUGUAAACUGCUUUUAUACAGGGAUAAAGUGAGGGACGUGUCCCUUUUUGUAGGUACUGUAUGAAUAAGGACCGGCUAAUUCCGUGCCAGCAGCCGCGGUAAUACGGAAGGUCCGGGCGUUAUCCGGAUUUAUUGGGUUUAAAGGGAGCGCAGGCUGAUGAUUAAGCGUGACGUGAAAUGUAGCCGCUCAACGGCUGAACUGCGUCGCGAACUGGUUAUCUUGAGUGAGUUCGAUGUUGGCGGAAUUCGUGGUGUAGCGGUGAAAUGCUUAGAUAUCACGAAGAACUCCGAUUGCGAAGGCAGCCAACAAGGCCUUUACUGACGCUAAAGCUCGAAGGUGCGGGUAUCGAACAGG
rnacentral:rRNA from 1 species